rnacentral:snoRNA from 1 species
AAGACCGUACUUUUUAGGAUCAUUUCUAUAGUACGCGUUCUUCCUUUGCUUCACAGCAAUGCGAAACACAACAGCCAUGAUGAUGAGCUGGAGAAUUGUUUUCUGAGCGGGAAGUUCAGCAUUUCCAAGUUCGAGAAUUCAAAUGUGGUUCUGCUAUUGAUGACCGUUCCUAGAAAGCUGUCAAUCACAGCAUUCUUGGAGGAAAGCAAUUCCAGCUGAGUGGC